ensembl:lncRNA
GUCUGCAGAAGGGAAAAUACAUGCACAUGCACACACAUAUGCAGAGCAUUUACAUAAAAUGAGAGAAAAUAGGCCUGGAUGGUUUUUGAGGGGCCACCUGGAAAGAUCUGUUAUUUCUUCCAUGCACUUCUGCAAUUUCCACAAAUAAGUUUGUAUUGGAAAAUAAAAAGAGGAUGAGACUCCGGAUGCAUUCAUUUUCUUGAGCACACUAUGCCACUUUAAAAAUAAGCUUUAAAUGGCAGGUAAUUGUUUCCAUAUUAAGGAAGGCUUAAGGAUGACUGACAAGAUCUGCUUUUGCAGCUCUGAUUUCUGCUAGUCAAAUCACCGAGGACGAGAGUGAAUAGGGCAUAUUUAGAAAAUGUAUUUUUAAAGCUAGGCUUUCACUGAACUGUAACUCCAAGCAAAAGUGAAGCUUCCCCAACCAGCUGUGGCUAAAAUACAGGGGAAAAAAGAAAGAAAGAAAGAAAGAAAGGCAUAAUAAAGAAAAGCUGCUAUAAAACAAAAUGGUGGUUAUAGCAGACAUGCACGCAAACCCUGAGCCCUCAUCUAAGGCUUGAGACCAAAGCUGCACACUGCCAGCACACGGCUCUGUGCAACCGUAUCCUCCCACCCUGGCUGCCACUGCUUCAACAGUGCCCUCCCUGUGAUCUGCUUUUGCUGUCCCGUGGCCUUGUGUCCCCUCCACAGUGGUCUCAAAGGACUCCAUGCAGCGUGGGGGACUGGGAAAGCAAAGGGUGCUCAUCUCCUCAGCCCAGCAGGCAAAGUCACUGAGAACUGGAUCAUCUGCGUUUGUUUAUCCAUACUGGAACAGAGAAGCAGCCACAGAACUUGAAAAUUGUCCUCAGCUGAGACCCCAGACACACUGAAAACACGGACAAGCUUGGAAUCAAAAGCUGCAGGACAGGAAAAUUCAUCCCAGCAACUCUUGAGAAGCAGCAGUUUUAGAUUGAGAGAGGAUUCUUUCUACUUUAUUACAGCUUCGUCCUAGAGUUCAAGAGACCUAGUGUGGGCCUCUACUACCCAGCCAUAGCUGUAACCUCUGAAAUUUAUCAUGCUGUUCUGCAAGGGCUUGAUUCCUCUGCUCUCAGAAGUUCACCUUCCUAUAAUCAGUCCACUGACUUCCACAGCUGCAUUUCCAAUUAUAAGGAUUGUGGAACUGGACACAGCUUUCUAAAUGUCUUUUGUCCUAUUACCAGCCCUUUGUCUACUUAUUUACAUGGUUGCUACUGCCACAGUAUCCAAGUACUAACACUAGUCCUCUUUCAAACAACAAAUGGGGAAGGAAAGUGUUCUAGCCACUCUACAGAAGAAUGGAAGCAGCGAUUUAGAUUCCAGUCCAAAAUAAUAUGUAGGUUCCCAAUUCCUACUGCCAUUAAUGUUAAUGGCAAGUUAGAAGAAGUCUAAAGUCUUCCUUUACUUUAGACUUUAGUGACUUCUUCAAGGUGCAAGAAACUUAGGCCAAGAAAGGAGCAGAGGUGUAUUUAUAUACAUAAUAGCUAUUUCAUACUGCCAGCCAAAUAACAACCACAAGUGUGACCCCCUUCUUUUGCCUAAAGCCACUGCAGUCAUUAAAAAAGGUAUUUUCUUUCAGAGCUUUUCCAGCUUAGGUGUCUGUUUCAUGAGUCCUCAGCUUAGGUGUCUGUUUCAUGAGUCCUGGCAAUUCUGAAGCUCAAGGAAUCUACAAACACAGUCGUAGUCCUUUUGCUUACGGAAAGGAAAAGAGUCAGAGGGCCACUGGUUCAGGAUAUAAGACAGGUCAAAAACAUAAGUUAAAAGAAUAAUAUUUCUAAACUCUGUAAAUAGCUAUCAUGGUAAAAAUACUUCUUUCCACUCUCACUUUGUAAACAGUAAGUAAAUUCAUAAACAAUAAAUUCUAAGCUAUUAGGGAAAAUGCCA